rnacentral:rRNA from 1 species
UACAGAGGGGGCAAGCGUUGUUCGGAAUUACUGGGCGUAAAGGGCGCGUAGGCGGCCUGUUAAGUCGAACGUGAAAUCCCCGGGCUCAACCCGGGAACUGCGUCCGAUACUGGCAGGCUUGAAUUCGGGAGAGGGAUGCGGAAUUCCAGGUGUAGCGGUGAAAUGCGCAGAUAUCAGGAGGAACACCGGUGGCGAAGGCGGAUCUCUGGGCCUUACCUGACGCUCAGGUGCGAAAGCUAGGGGAGCGAACAGG